GUUUGAUCCUGGCUCAGGACGAACGCUGGCGGCGUGCUUAACACAUGCAAGUCGAGCGGAAAGGCCACUUCGGUGGUACUCGAGCGGCGAACGGGUGAGUAACACGUGAGUAAUCUGCCCCUGGCUUCGGGAUAGCCACCGGAAACGGUGAUUAAUACCGGAUAUGACACAUUCUCGCAUGGGUUUGUGUGGAAAGUUUUUCGGCCAGGGAUGUGCUCGCGGCCUAUCAGCUUGAUGGUGAGGUAAUGGCUCACCAUGGCUUCGACGGGUAGCCGGCCUGAGAGGGUGACCGGCCACACUGGGACUGAGACACGGCCCAGACUCCUACGGGAGGCAGCAGUGGGGAAUAUUGGACAAUGGGCGGAAGCCUGAUCCAGCAACGCCGCGUGAGGGAUGACGGCCUUCGGGUUGUAAACCUCUUUCAGUACCGACGAAGCGCAAGUGACGGUAGGUACAGAAGAAGCACCGGCCAACUACGUGCCAGCAGCCGCGGUAAUACGUAGGGUGCGAGCGUUGUCCGGAAUUAUUGGGCGUAAAGGGCUCGUAGGCGGUUUGUCGCGUCGGGAGUGAAAACGCCGUGCUUAACACGGCGCUUGCUUUCGAUACGGGCAGACUAGAGGUAUUCAGGGGAGAACGGAAUUCCUGGUGUAGCGGUGAAAUGCGCAGAUAUCAGGAGGAACACCGGUGGCGAAGGCGGUUCUCUGGGAAUGACCUGACGCUGAGGAGCGAAAGUGUGGGGAGCGAACAGGAUUAGAUACCCUGGUAGUCCACACCGUAAACGUUGGGCGCUAGGUGUGGGGUCCAUUCCACGGAUUCCGUGCCGCAGCUAACGCAUUAAGCGCCCCGCCUGGGGAGUACGGCCGCAAGGCUAAAACUCAAAGGAAUUGACGG
rnacentral:rRNA from 1 species